rnacentral:rRNA from 1 species
CCUACGGGUGGCAUCAGUGCGGCAUAUUGGUCACUGGCCGUAAGGCUGAACCAGCCAAGUAGCGUGAAGGAUGACUGCCCUACGGAUUGUAAACUUCUUUUAUAAAGGAAUAAAGUGAGGCACGUGUGCCUUUUUGUAUGUACUUUAUGAAUAAGGAUCGGCUAACUCCGUGCCAGCAGCCGCGGUAAUCAGGAGGAUCCGAGCGUUAUCCGUAUUUAUUGGGUUUAAAGGGAGCGUAGAUGGGUUGUUAAGUCAGUUGUGAAAGUUUGCGGCUCAACCGUAAAAUUGCAAUUGAUACUGGCAGCCUUGAGUACAGUUGAGGUAGGCGGAAUUCGUGGUGUAGCGGUGAAAUGCUUAGAUAUCACGAAGAACUCCGAUUGCGAAGGCAGCUUACUAAACUGCCACUGACAUUGAUGCUCGAAAGUGUGGGUAUCAAACAGGAUUAGAUACCCUGGUAGUC